UUUACCUGUACGUAUGACGAUGCUUUUGGUCCUUUCCUGCAUCGCUUGUUGGUAACGCGCUCUCCUCUACUAGUUGAUCUUGCAUGAGAGGUAGCCUUGUUCAGUCCAGCCGAGAGUUCACUGCUGGGAUUAAUGCUUUCAAACAAUUUGGUCAGUGAUGCAAUUUCUUGGGCAUUGACAUCAAUUUUUAAUUGCAUGCACGUCUUCAUCGGCAGGUUCGGGCGCGCAAGUAGGCGGUGUUGAGAUGAUUCUGUCGCAGUUCACGUGAGUCCUACUAGCCGAGAUCGUCAUCGUGUGUGUUGGUGUUACUUGGUCCCUAGAGAUAUCAGGGCCAUUGUUAUUGUUUGCGUGAAGAUAGGUCCAAAAUUACUCCGUCAUGCUGUGUGUACUGGGGCACGUUUUCCUGUAGUACCUCUUUCCGAUCUGAUGUAAUCACUUUGUACUGUUGUUUCUAGGAGUUAGAGAUCCCUUUGUGUUAUAUGUUUUCUCUAUAGCUGAGAGAGUUUUGUAAGCAUUUGAGGUUCGUGACAAAGAUCAGCCUGCCAUCAUGCUUCUGUGAAGAAAGUGGCUUAGUACCACCUUGUUCCUUUACAGGCAAUCCCAUAAACUUACGUUUGCGAGUUAAAAUUAAUCAGAAAGCCGCCUUUUUUUGAAAAAUAAUGAGAUGGUAAAGAGUGGCGUUUAUAUGCCCG
rnacentral:lncRNA from 1 species